rnacentral:rRNA from 1 species
GUCGAACGAAGCACCUUUUGAGAUUCUUCGGAUGAUUGAUUGGUGACUGAGUGGCGGACGGGUGAGUAACGCGUGGGUAACCUGCCCUGUACAGGGGGAUAACAGCUGGAAACGGCUGCUAAUACCGCAUAAGCGCACGAGGAGACAUCUCCUUGUGUGAAAAACUCCGGUGGUGCAGGAUGGGCCCGCGUCUGAUUAGCUGGUUGGCAGGGUAACGGCCUACCAAGGCAACGAUCAGUAGCCGGUCUGAGAGGAUGAACGGCCACAUUGGAACUGAGACACGGUCCAAACUCCUACGGGAGGCAGCAGUGGGGAAUAUUGCACAAUGGGGGAAACCCUGAUGCAGCAACGCCGCGUGAGUGAAGAAGUAUUUCGGUAUGUAAAGCUCUAUCAGCAGGGAAGAUAAUGACGGUACCUGACUAAGAAGCUCCGGCUAAAUACGUGCCAGCAGCCGCGGUAAUACGUAUGGAGCAAGCGUUAUCCGGAUUUACUGGGUGUAAAGGGUGCGUAGGUGGCAGUGCAAGUCAGAUGUGAAAGGCCGGGGCUCAACCCCGGAGCUGCAUUUGAAACUGCUCGGCUAGAGUACAGGAGAGGCAGGCGGAAUUCCUAGUGUAGCGG